UUUGCACCAAAUACUAUUCCUCCUGGCAAUAUGUAGGUGUCCUGAUUGCUCCAUAUCCUUGCCAACACUUGGUAUCAUCCGUCUUUUGAACUUGUGGCCAUUCUGAGAGAGAGAGUAUUCUGAGUAACAGAGGAGCCUAAUUUACAGGAGGGAAUCUGAAGGUCUCCUUCUGCCAAGAACCGAAUAGGAAUUCACCAAGGGAAGCACAGAUGCUGGUUUUCAAAUUCAUCAGUGCACACUUGCGACUGCCACCGAGGCAUGAAAGCAGCGAAGAUAAUACCCAAAUGAACAGACAGAGAUCACAAGCAGGCAGAGAGAGAGGGGGAAGCAGACUCCCUGCCGGGCAGAAAGCCCGACGCGGGGCUUGAUCCCAGAACCCCGAGAUCAUGACCUGAACUGAAGGCAGAGGCUUAACCCACUGAGCCACCCCAGCACCCUGGUGAUGUUAUCUGUUUGCCACCCAUUUUGCAAGAGAGGAAAUGGAGAAGGAGAAACUGGAACCGCUUGCCUACAGCUAGUAAGGAGAACCACCAGGGUUCACAGCGUGGUUUGCCUGCUGGUUGACCUGCACUGUUGGUAAUCUGGCUCGCCGGGAUAAGCAGAAUGGGCAGUGCCAAUGAGAUGACCCAACAGCAUCCCAUAUAUUCACGCACAAGGGCGGGAAAAGCAGGGCUCACUUUGCCUGCUUAACUCUUCAGGUGCUUAUUCUAACCAUGCAGAUGAGGAGCUUUGAGCACAUCAUGGCAAAGGGAGAUGAAUCACCCCUUAGCCCUUCACCUCUGGAUCCCCGGUCAUGUCUGCAGGGAAGCUUUGGGCCUGUGUCAACGCGAAGUAGGUCGGGCUGCAAGCCAAGCCUGCAUCUCACAUGGGGAGUGACUGCACCAUUAGUGAAAGCUGUGGGCAAUUCACAGCUCAGGGAAACUUGGCCUACAAACUGGUUAUACCACCCUGGUUAGGGCACGAACAAAGCACUCACUGCCUAGACCACUCAUGAAAGUUCUAGAGUGGACAUGUGGGAAGACAUCAAGGCUCCUGUGGGCUUAGGAAGAGAAAGGCUAGUUGGUUUCAAUAUUCCCUGAUUAAAAUACAUUCACCCCUUGUAUCUUAGUGUUCCACAUCCAUCAUUUUAUUUCACCUUCCGAUCACCUCUGCGAGGUAAGAACAAUUACUGUCUCCAUGUUACAGACACAGAAGCAGACAGAGAGCGAAUCACUUUCACAAGCAUACGUAGAAAGUAGCAGAAUGAGCAUGCCGGUGAUGCCUGGUUCCAGGUCUUGUGUCCUUAACCAUUAGGUAAUACUCCUUUCCAACAGAAGAUUACUUGCUGUUAGUAUUUUACUAAUCCAGUCUUGACUGGGUGUCCCGUGAGUGGUUCACAUUCCCCCUGGGAACCCAGGAAAGACCACAAGCUUGUCCUAUUCACACCAUGGAGAGGAG